rnacentral:rRNA from 1 species
GACGAACGCUGGCGGCGUGCUUAACACAUGCAAGUCGAACGGUGAAGCGCCUUCCUUUUUGGUGGGUGUGGAUGAGUGGCGAACGGGUGAGUAACACGUGAGUAACCUGCCCCCUUCUUCUGGAUAACCGCAUGAAGGUGUGGCUAAUACGGGAUAUUCUGGGUCUGUCGCAUGAUGGGUCUGGGAAAGAUAUUGUUUCGGUGGGGGAUGGGCUCGCGGCCUAUCAGCUUGUUGGUGGGGUGAUGGCCUACCAAGGCGGUGACGGGUAGCCGGCCUGAGAGGGUGGACGGUUACACUGGGACUGAGACACGGCCCAGACUCCUACGGGAGGCAGCAGUGGGGAAUAUUGCACAAUGGGCGCAAGCCUGAUGCAGCGACGCCGCGGGAGGGAUGGAGGCCUUCGGGUUGUGAACCUCUUUCGCCAGUGAAGCAGGCCUGCCUCGUUUGUGGGUGGGUUGACGGUAGCUGGAUAAGAAGCGCCGGCUAACUACGUG